CAGAGUCUCGUUCACCCGUUCGGUUGCUCACUCCUUCCCUUGCCUUGCCUUGCCGAGCACAUCAGCUCUCACCGCUGGAUAACAUCAAUUAUGGCCGAAAGCCAAAUGAGCGCGAUGAGUGGGAUGAGCUCCAUGUCUGGCAUGUCCGGCAUGUCUGGUAUGUCUGGGACGGAAAGCAUAGGACAGGACAAAGGCGGUAAUUGACAUUUCCUGUUAUUCGGUUCGCUCGGUUGU